rnacentral:tRNA from 1 species
GGGCUUGUAGCUCAGGUGGUUAGAGCGCACGCCUGAUAAGCGUGAGGUCGUUGGUUCAAGUCCAAUCAGGCCCACCA